GAGGGUAUAGCUCAGUGGUAGAGUAUGUACUUGGCAUGCACAAGGCCCUGGGUUCAAUCCCCAGUACCUCCA
rnacentral:tRNA from 1 species